GAAACGCGGUGAUGCCCAUGUGCUAGAAGAGGAAACGGAGGCGCACGUGUCACUAGCACGUGUGGAAGCCACAUCUGGCACUUGCCUUCUGGGACUUCUAAGCCUCUCACCCACAAGGGCAUGGCUCUGGGACCUGACAGCUGUUUCCCAUCUCCGGGGCUGCCCCUAAUGGCCAUGACCCCAGCGUUAAGCAAUUACAAGUGCAGAAGAGUGGAGCUUCAAUCAAUGCUAGUAGGAAGGGAGUCUAAGGGAGAAGAAAGCCACCGAACAAGCAACUCCAAUAUUGUACCAUAAGAACAAGGGCAGCGGG
rnacentral:lncRNA from 1 species